GUGACGCAGCAUUUGAUUCUGUUUCCACGGUGGGUCGAAACUGGAAAAGUAACUGGCAAUAUCUUGUCUGAAAUCAACAGGACAUGACUUGGCGACAUAUAGACGAGAGGCUAUUGAGUUGCUAGACUACUUGUGCUGUAACCCGGGCAAUGAGACAGAGAGCAAUGCUCAGCAGUUCAGCUGGAAUCCUAAACACAUUGCAAAGAUUUGCUGUCAUACUUGGGGAAAAUGAAUUCUGUUGACAUAUGGCUGAAAACAAUGGUGGAAAGGCAUGCAACGUAAGGCAAUGAAGAAUCAUGCGGUGUUGUGGAGGAGAGGAUCUGGAGCUGUUCCUUUGAGCCCUCUAUGACAGGUAUACAGAGCCACCUGACAGCACAGUAUUUCAGUGAUAAAUGCAGUGGGUCUGGGACUUUCAUUCACUAAACUCAGGAGUGUGCUGGGCUGAUACUUCAAGGUCAAGUGAAUAUGAAAGAGCUGUACCACACAGCCUGCUAAAAAGAACGAGGGAGCAAGCGCCUCUUGUCUGCUUCCUAACUUCGACAACUUCUAAAUGUUAUGUUGUUUAAAUUCAUGUGAUGUGCUUAUAAACACAGAUGUUGUGUUACAGCGUCGUUUCGUGAUUUUUGGAUGUUUGUGAUUUAAAAAAUUCAUAAUCUGUCAGUAUAAACCCAUGCUAUAUUCAAUCUAGUUCAUUUACACACUGAUAAUAAAAACGACAGCGACUAUAUAAAUGAAGGUGAAACACACACACACACACGCACUCAGUCGCAGCCAAAACAAUUGAAUUACAGUGCUUGUGGCAUGUUGUCUUACUCUGUGAUAUGUGUGAAAUGGUUAAUUAAAGGUGAGCUCAUUAUUCUUGCUCAGGAUCCAGUAACUGUGUUAACAUGAUCCAUGACUAAU